CCUACGGGAGGCAGCAGUGAGGAAUAUUGGUCAAUGGACGGAAGUCUGAACCAGCCAUGCCGCGUGCAGGAAGACGGCUCUAUGAGUUGUAAACUGCUUUUGUACAAGGGUAAACCUGAAUACGUGUAUUCAGCUGAAAGUACUGUACGAAUAAGGAUCGGCUAACUCCGUGCCAGCAGCCGCGGUAAUACGGAGGAUCCAAGCGUUAUCCGGAUUUAUUGGGUUUAAAGGGUGCGUAGGCGGAUUGAUAAGUUAGAGGUGGAAGGUCCGAGCUUAACUCGGGAACUGCCUCUAAUACUGUUGAGCUAGAGAGUAGAUGCGGUAGGCGGAAUGUAUGGUGUAGCGGUGAAAUGCUUAGAGAUCAUACAGAACACCGAUUGCGAAGGCAGCUUACCAAUCUAUAUCUGACGUUGAGGCACGAAAGCGUGGGGAGCAAACAGGAUUAGAUACCCGAGUAGUC
rnacentral:rRNA from 1 species